rnacentral:rRNA from 1 species
AUUGAACGCUGGCGGCAGGCCUAACACAUGCAAGUCGAGCGGGGUUUUCGGACCUAGCGGCGGACGGGUGAGUAAUGCGUAGGAAGCUACCCGAUAGAGGGGGAUACCAGUUGGAAACGACUGUUAAUACCGCAUAAUGUCUUCGGACCAAAGUGUGGGACCUUCGGGCCACAUGCUAUCGGAUGCGCCUACGUGGGAUUAGCUAGUUGGUGAGGUAAUGGCUCACCAAGGCGACGAUCCCUAGCUGGUUUGAGAGGAUGAUCAGCCACACUGGAACUGAGACACGGUCCAGACUCCUACUGGAGGCAGCAGUGGUGAAUAUUGUACAAUGGGCGCAAGCCUGAUCCAGCCAUGCCGCGUGUGUGAAGAAGUCCUUCGGGUUGUAAAGCACUUUCAGUAGGGAGGAAGCGUUGUGUGUUAAUAGUACACAGCGUUGACGUUACCUACAGAAGAAGCACCGGCUAACUCUGUGCCAGCCGCCGCCGCAGUAA